GAAAGAGCAAACCAGAAAGUAGCACUAGAGACGAGCAGGAGUCUGCUGAAAAGUCAUCUACACCAGGGUCUGGUCGGAGUGUCUGGCCUCCAAGUUCCCGAGCAGAUGUGAGAAAUUCCCAGACCGAGAUUGAUCUUACGCGUGGAUGACACAAUUCGCUGGAAUGCAUAUUUGAGGAGUUUGUAUAUAUGUGCUAUUGUAAAUGAAACGCGUCAGGUGAUCAAGCUCAACGACUUAACUGUCUGCCAAUUAGUAGAUGAAGGAUUAUGCUAACUUUGGUAACAAAAUUCUCCUUGUAGGUACUGUUUAGUGGUAAGAAUGAUAUGGUUGUUACAAGUAAAAAUUAUUGUUUCCUUAGAAGUGCUUUUGGUCUCUUCUGUUGUAACUUGGAAUAUUUUUUAUUUUUGGGA
rnacentral:misc_RNA from 1 species